UAUGUAGGGUGCAAGCGUUGUCCGGAAUUAUUGGGCGUAAAGAGCUCGUAGGCGGUCUGUCGCGUCGGCUGUGAAAUCCCGGAGCUCAACUCCGGGUCUGCAGUCGAUACGGGCAAACUGGAGUACUGCAGGGGAGACUGGAAUUCCUGGUGUAGCGGUGAAAUGCGCAGAUAUCAGGAGGAACACCGGUGGCGAAGGCGGGUCUCUGGGCAGUAACUGACGCUGAGGAGCGAAAGCGUGGGGAGCGAACAGG
rnacentral:rRNA from 1 species